rnacentral:rRNA from 1 species
GAGUUUGAUCCUGGCUCAGAUUGAACGCUGGCGGCAGGCCUAACACAUGCAAGUCGAGCGGCAGCGGAAAGUAGCUUGCUACUUUGCCGGCGAGCGGCGGACGGGUGAGUAAUGUCUGGGAAACUGCCUGAUGGAGGGGGAUAACUACUGGAAACGGUAGCUAAUACCGCAUAACGUCGCAAGACCAAAGAGGGGGACCUUCGGGCCUCUUGCCAUCAGAUGUGCCCAGAUGGGAUUAGCUAGUAGGUGGGGUAACGGCUCACCUAGGCGACGAUCCCUAGCUGGUCUGAGAGGAUGACCAGCCACACUGGAACUGAGACACGGUCCAGACUCCUACGGGAGGCAGCAGUGGGGAAUAUUGCACAAUGGGCGCAAGCCUGAUGCAGCCAUGCCGCGUGUAUGAAGAAGGCCUUCGGGUUGUAAAGUACUUUCAGCGGGGAGGAAGGCGAUAAGGUUAAUAACCUUGUCGAUUGACGUUACCCGCAGAAGAAGCACCGGCUAACUCCGUGCCAGCAGCCGCGGUAAUACGGAGGGUGCAAGCGUUAAUCGGAAUUACUGGGCGUAAAGCGCACGCAGGCGGUCUGUCAAGUCGGAUGUGAAAUCCCCGGGCUCAACCUGGGAACUGCAUUCGAAACUGGCAGGCUAGAGUCUUGUAGAGGGGGGUAGAAUUCCAGGUGUAGCGGUGAAAUGC